AUGUCUCAGUACAAGCCAUAUUAAGGUGAAACCGCGAAAGGCUCAUNNNUACAGUUAUGGUUCCUUAGAUCGUACCCACUUUUACUUGGAUAACUGUGGUAAUUCUAGAGCUAAUACAUGCAAAUAGAGCUCCGACCGGAUGACGGGAGGAGCGCUUUUAUUAGAUCAAAACCAAUCGGUGACGGGUUCGCCCGACAUCGUACAACUUGGUGACUCUGAAUAACUUUAAGCUGAUCGCACGGUCUUGCACCGGCGACGCAUCUUUCAAAUGUCUGCCUUAUCAACUGUCGAUGGUAGGUUCUGCGCCUACCAUGGUUGUAACGGGUAACGGGGAAUCAGGGUUCGAUUCCGGAGAGGGAGCCUGAGAAACGGCUACCACAUCCAAGGAAGGCAGCAGGCGCGCAAAUUACCCACUCCCGGCACGGGGAGGUAGUGACGAAAAAUAACGAUACGGGACUCAUCCGAGGCCCCGUAAUCGGAAUGAGUACACUCUAAACCCUUUAACGAGGAUCAAUUGGAGGGCAAGUCUGGUGCCAGCAGCCGCGGUAAUUCCAGCUCCAAUAGCGUAUAUUAAAGUUGUUGCGGUUAAAAAGCUCGUAGUCGAAUUUGUGUCCCGCGCCGCCGGUUCAUCGUCCGCGGUGUUAACUGGCGUGUCGCGGAAUGUCCUGCCGGUGGGCUUAGCGCGCAAGUGCGGCCCAAUCAAUCCUGCCACGGUGCUCUUCACUGAGUGUCGAGGUGGGCCGGCACGUUUACUUUGAACAAAUUAGAGUGCUUAAAGCAGGCUAAAACUUCGCCUGAAUACUGUGUGCAUGGAAUAAUGGAAUAGGACCUCGGUUCUAUUUUGUUGGUUUUCGGAACUCCGAGGUAAUGAUUAAUAGGAACGGAUGGGGGCAUUCGUAUUGCGA
rnacentral:rRNA from 1 species